AGCCCAGGGUGAAAGGAAAGAAGGCCCAGUGUGACAUCACAGAGGCUGGGGGACCUCAGCAGAACUGUCUGCAGCCCUGCUCUAGCUGCCUCCGGUGACAGGCACUUCCAACAGCAAACCCCACCCCCACCCCGACAUGUGCUGGGGAACCGGGAGUUCCUGCCCCUGAGAGGCUGAUGUUGUUGGAGAAAAUAUGACCUGGAGAAACACAUGGGAAGAAAGUUGCUACAAAGUCACCAGCUAUGCAAGGCCACAAGUUAUGCUAUAGAUGAUGUGACCUGUCAUAUGAUUAACUACUUUUAUUUAUUGGAAGUCUGCUUAUAAAAACCCCGCUCUGUCUUUGUUCGAUGCUCAGCUUUUUAGAUGACAGUCCACUAAGCCAGUUCUUUAGGCUCCGAUAAAAAUUGACACGAGGCCAAGCAAAUUUCCCAGACAAGGCUUUAUUAGGGGCUUCCGUUCCACCACGGGGGAGACAGCACCGCAGGGAGAGGUCUCCGGCUGGCUCCCCAGGGGACUGCGUUGUGGCGUCUCGAGGAGGGCGACACGCGUAAUUCAUGAGGUCGUGUGAUCAGUGGAUGUGGCAUUUUGUGUAAGAUUUACAGUGGAAUGCUGCUUAUCUUAAUGCUUUCACUGUCCUUCAAUGAGCAGGUAAGAAAAAAAAAGGAAGAAAGAAAAAUGUUGGGGGGGGGAAUGCAUUAGCGAAUGCAUUAGUGGAGUUGGCAGCCGAGUCCCAUCCCUCCUCUGUCUCAAUAAGUGUCAGAUGAUGCUAUCAUAUAAUU